UACGUAGGGUGCAAGCGUUGUCCGGAAUUAUUGGGCGUAAAGAGCGUGUAGGCGGCCAUUCAGGUCAGCUGUGAAAACUCGAGGCUCAACCUCGAGACGUCGGUUGAAACCGUUUGGCUAGAGUCCGGAAGAGGAGAGUGGUAUUCCCGGUGUAGCGGUGAAAUGCGCAGAUAUCGGGAAGAACACCCGUGGCGAAGGCGGCUCUCUGGGACGGUACUGACGCUGAGACGCGAAAGCGUGGGGAGCGAACAGG
rnacentral:rRNA from 1 species